UUUAAUGAAAGAGUUUGAUCCUGGCUCAGAUUGAACGCUGGCGGCACGCCUAACACAUGCAAGUCGAGCGGUAACAGGAAGAAGCUUGCUUCUUCGCUGACAAGCGGCGGACGGGUGAGUAAUGCGUGGGAAUCUGCCUCUAGGCGGGGGACAACUCGGGGAAACUCGAGCUAAUACCGCAUAAUGUCUACGGACCAAAGCGGGGGACCUUCGGGCCUCGCACCUAGAGAUGAGCCCACGUCGGAUUAGCUUGUUGGUGGGGUAAUGGCCUACCAAGGCAACGAUCCGUAGCUGGUCUGAGAGGAUGAUCAGCCACACUGGGACUGAGACACGGC
rnacentral:rRNA from 1 species